AGUGAACGCUGGCGGUAGGCCUAACACAUGCAAGUCGAACGGCAGCACAGUAAGAGCUUGCUCUUACGGGUGGCGAGUGGCGGACGGGUGAGGAAUACAUCGGAAUCUACUUUUUCGUGGGGGAUAACGUAGGGAAACUUACGCUAAUACCGCAUACGACCUACGGGUGAAAGCAGGGGAUCUUCGGACCUUGCGCGAUUGAAUGAGCCGAUGUCGGAUUAGCUAGUUGGCGGGGUAAAGGCCCACCAAGGCGACGAUCCGUAGCUGGUCUGAGAGGAUGGUCAGCCACACUGUCACUGAGACACGGUCCAGACUCCUACGGGAGGCAGCAGUGGGGAAUAUUGGACAAUGGGCGCAUGCCUGAUCCAGCCAUACCGCGUGGGUGAAGAAGGCCUUCUGGUUGUAAAGCCCUUUUGUUGGGAAAGAAAAGCAGCAGGUUAAUACCCCGCUGUUCUGACGGUACCCAAAGAAUAAGCACCGGCUAACUUCGUG
rnacentral:rRNA from 1 species